ACGUAGGUGGCAAGCGUUGUCCGGAUUUAUUGGGCGUAAAGCGAACGCAGGCGGGAAGGUAAGUCAGCUGUGAAAGCCCCCAGCUUAACUGGGGAAUUGCAGCUGAAACUAUGUUUCUUGAGUGCAGAAGAGGAGAGUGGAACUCCAUGUGUAGCGGUGGAAUGCGUAGAUAUAUGGAAGAACACCAGUGGCGAAGGCGGCUCUCUGGUCUGUAACUGACGCUGAGGUUCGAAAGCAUGGGUAGCGAACAGG
rnacentral:rRNA from 1 species